AUACAGGGGGAUAACAGUUAGAAAUGACUGCUAAUACCGCAUAAGCGCACGGGGAUGCAUAUUCUUGUGUGAAAAACUCCGGUGGUAUGAGAUGGACCCGCGUCUGAUUAGCUAGUUGGUGAGGUAACGGCUCACCAAGGCGACGAUCAGUAGCCGACCUGAGAGGGUGACCGGCCACAUUGGGACUGAGACACGGCCCAAACUCCUACGGGAGGCAGCAGUGGGGAAUAUUGCACAAUGGGGGAAACCCUGAUGCAGCAACGCCGCGUGAGUGAAGAAGUAUUUCGGUAUGUAAAGCUCUAUCAGCAGGGAAGAAAAUGACGGUACCUGAGUAAGAAGCCCCGGCUAACUACGUGCCAGCAGCCGCGGUAAUACGUAGGGGGCAAGCGUUAUCCGGAUUUACUGGGUGUAAAGGGAGCGUAGACGGCGAUGCAAGUCUGAAGUGAAAGCCCGGGGCUCAACCCCGGGACUGCUUUGGAAACUGUAUGGCUGGAGUGCUGGAGAGGCAAGCGGAAUUCCUAGUGUAGCGGUGAAAUGCGUAGAUAUUAGGAAGAACACCAGUGGCGAAGGCGGCUUGCUGGACAGUAACUGACGUUGAGGCUCGAAAGCGUGGGGAGCAACAGGAUUAGAUACCCUGGUAGUCCACGCCGUAAACGAUGAAUGCUAGGUGU
rnacentral:rRNA from 1 species